rnacentral:rRNA from 1 species
GAGUUUGAUUCUGGCUCAGGAUGAACGCUGGCGGUAUGCCUUACACAUGCAAGUCGUACGAGAGUUUUUAGCUCAAGUGGCGGACGGGUGAGUAACACGUAAGAAUUUGCCUUUAGGAGGGGGACAACAACUGGAAACGGUUGCUAAUACCCCAUAUGCUUUCGAGUGAAAUGGUUUUUCCGCCUAAAGAGAAGCUUGCGGCUGAUUAGCUUGUUGGUAGAGUAAUAGCCUACCAAGGCGACGAUCAGUAUCUGGUUUGAGAGGACGAUCAGACACACUGGAACUGAGACACGGUCCAGACUCCUACGGGAGGCAGCAGUAGGGAAUUUUCCGCAAUGGGCGAAAGCCUGACGGAGCAAUACCGCGUGAGGGAUGACUGCCUAUGGGUUGUAAACCUCUUUUUUCAGGGAGGAAUAAAUGACGUGUACCUGAAGAAUAAGCAUCGGCUAACUCCGUGCCAGCAGCCGCGGUAAGACGGAGGAUGCAAGUGUUAUCCGGAAUCACUGGGCGUAAAGCGUCUGUAGGUGGUCAAAUAAGUCAACUGUUAAAUCUUGGGGCUCAACCUCAAAAUCGCAGUCGAAACUAUUAGGCUAGAGUAUAGUAGAGGUAAAGGGAAUUUCCAGUGGAGCGGUGAAAUGCGUAGAGAUUGGAAAGAACACCGAUGGCGAAGGCACUUUACUGGGCUAUUACUGACACUCAGAGACGAAAGCUAGGGUAGCAAAUGGGAUUAGAUACCCCAGUAGUCCUAGCCGUAAACAAUGGAUACUAGGUGUUGAACAGAUCGAUCUGUGCAGUACUAAAGCUAACGCGUUAAGUAUCCCGCCUGGGAAGUAUGCACGCAAGUGUGAAACUCAAAGGAAUUGACGGGGGCCCGCACAAGCGGUGGAGCAUGUGGUUUAAUUCGAUGCAACGCGAAGAACCUUACCAGGGUUUGACAUGAUACGAAUUUCUUUGAAAAAAGAAAGUGCCUUUUGGAACGUAUA